rnacentral:rRNA from 1 species
UACGUAGGUGGCAAGCGUUAUCCGGAUUUACUGGGUGUAAAGGGCGUGUAGGCGGGAGCGCAAGUCAGAUGUGAAAACUCAGGGCUCAACCCUGAGCCUGCAUUUGAAACUGGUUUUCUUGAGUGAAGUAGAGGUUGGCGGAAUUCCGAGUGUAGCGGUGAAAUGCGUAGAUAUUCGGAGGAACACCGGUGGCGAAGGCGGCCUGCUGGACAAUAACUGACGCUGAGGCGCGAAAGCGUGGGGAGCAA